rnacentral:lncRNA from 1 species
AGGUGAUUCUGUGGCCAGUGUUCUUGUUAAAUACUCAAGUGUUCUGGCUCCUACUUUUCUUCCUCCCAUUCUUCCUUGAGAUUCCCCAUGCUUCAAAGGAAAGGAACAGAUGGAGAGCUCCAAUUUGGCCUCUUUCUUUGUCUAAUGUUUGACUGUUGAUAUCUGCAUCUGCUCCCAUCAGCUGCUGAAAGAAGCCUUUAUGAUGAAGAGAAUCCCAUAAUCUUUAUACAAGAUAUUGUUUACUACUAUCUUCCAAGCCAACUGUCUCAAGCCAAAUGUUUCUUCUUUUUUAUUUAAAUUUUACAUUUAUUUAUUUUUCAGUCAAUUUUGCUUAAAUUUACUAACAUAUAGUUCUUUUUUAUCAAAUACAUUUUUUACACAAUAUAUUCUGAUUGUGAGUUUCCCUUCUCCUACUCCUCCCAAAUUUUCCCCACUUCCACAGUCAACUUAAUGCCUUCUUUAUAUCACUUUAGGAAAUAGGCAAACAAAAGAGGAAACAAUCCAAAUAAAACAACAACAAAAGUAACAGAGAGACAGCACAAGAAACACAUCGAUGCACACACAUACACAUACUCACACAGAGACAAAUGCAUACACAGAGAGAGAUACAAAUGCAUUAAUACCACACAGACACACACACACAGACACACACACACACACACACACACACAGACCACAUGCCUCUUCAAAACACAAAAUGGGAAAUCAUGGUAUAGAACCAGAAGAUCAGUAAGAUGAAACACUUUUCAAAGAAAGCAAUAUGACACACACACACAAAUAUAUAAAUAUAUAUAUAUAUAUAUAGCCUUUGGGUUAAUUUUGUGUCAUCCCUGGUGAGCAUGGGACUCAGAGAAAAUUCAUUUAAUUUUAGUUAAAAUAAUAGUGUAGAGAAGCUGAACAGAGCAAUGAGAAUUGAAACCUCACAUUAUAAGGGUGGAUUUUAGCUCUUCUUGUGGAAGUUUAGUGAAUUUUCGCUUUCUGUUUGAGAAAAUUUAUUGCCUAUACAACACUGAAUAUUUACAUACAUUUUAAAAUAAAUUUAAUAUUUUAUUUGAUCUCUGAUCUCUAAUAAUACCCUUUUGAGAUUAACUAUAUAUUGUCUCUUAAUAAGACAUAUGAAAUUAAUUAAAAAAUGGGCCAUGAAUUUGAAAGCAAGAUGUAUGGGAGUGUUAAAUAGAGAUGGGACAAAGGAAGAAUAGUCUAAUUACAUUACAAUCUCAAAAAUAAAAGAAAACAAUGGUUUAUAUCCAGGUGCCCCCUGGCAGAUCCAUACUUUAGCUGGGCGUGGUGGCGCACGCCUUUAAUCCCAGAACUUGGGAGGCAGAGGCAGGCGGAUUUCUGAGUUCUGGGCCAGCCUGGUCUACAGAGUGAGUUUCAGGACAGCCAGGGCUACAGAGAAACCCUGUCUCAAAAAACCAAAAAGAAAAGAAAAAAAAAGAAAAGGAAACAAAUUAAGGGAUGAGACAAGAUAACCUAUAUAAAUUGUGACCAAAGAUGUCUCUAUUAACAGUACCACCUAUAAGAAAGUGUUGUAUUGUCCUUUCCUAUGAUUCCAGGCUAUUUUAAUAUAUCUCCUUAUCACUUAAAACAUUUGUUUCACUUGUCUUGUGUAUCACAAAAUACUUAUGUAGCUUUCAAGGGCUAGGAAGAUGCUUGAGGCGUGAAGCAUUUGCUGCACAAGCCAGACAACAUGAGUUCCAUCCUGAAAAUCAUGUAAAGAAGGAGAGGACCCAACAAAUACAUCCUGUGCCUACCACACAUGCACAGGGAGACCAACACACCCACAUACGUAUAUCCCACACAAAAUAAGAGUAAACGCCAUUGUACAAAGAAGGUUAUUUCUUGAUGACAUAUAUGUAUCUGUAGGAGCAUGUAGGCAUGUAGUAAAUAGUCUAUAUUGUACACAUGAUGAUGUCCAAUGACUGUAUUUAUGUGAAUGGACAUUUUAAUUAUAACUUAUAAAGUUAUGGUAGGGUAUAUUCAAUUUCUGGAAAGAAUAAAAGCUUUGAUUUCAUAACAUAAAUUAAUAUAAUAUCCAAAGCAAUUAACAGGUUGUCUAAAUUCUGUCUAACUUUGUCUAGUUCAUUGCAAAAUAAUUUAUAUCUUCUCAUACUUUCAGCCUCUUCAAGACCAGCUAGAGAUAAUAAUUGCUCAUGAUUUGUGACACCUUCUCUUAAGAAAUUUGACCCCACUUCCAAGAUACACAUAAAAUUCAAGUCUCUUUUUUUGUUUUUUUUAAACUGUAUUUAGUAUUUUAUCCAAAGAAGUCUGACAGCCAGUGAAUUUCCACAUGCUCACUGCCAACAAAAUGCUAACAUUCUAGUUUGUCUAAUACGCUUACAAUCCAUGAUUCAAUAAAAAUAAAUUAAAAGGAUUCCAGACACAGAAAAAUAUCCAGUAUGCUUUAAAUUUGCCUUUUUCUGCAGUAGGUUUUCUCUUUCUUGCUGACCUAAUGUAGAAAUUUUGGCUAUUUAUUUCAAAUGCUGGUUUCUAAUUAACUUAAUGUAUUUUCCUGGAAGUCACAUUUCAUCCAUCCAAGAAGGAAUCUGCAUUUCUCUCAUUUUAGUCUAUUCUUCACCCCUGAAUUUCUUUUAUUUUUUCCUGGCUAAUACUUAAUGCUGGAUCCUGGAGUCUUAUUUCAGGCCUAGUUCAUCCUAUUCACAAAAGAGUGACUCAGAUUAAACAGAGUUGAGUAAAGGUGAAUUAAUACACUAAUUAUAAAUAAACCUUCCUUUUGUAUUUCAGCUCAAUUGCAAGUAUUUCAGUUCUUGAAACAAUGAUAACAUUUCCUUAAUUAUGGCAUCAUAAAAUAGUCUAUUAAGAGUUCACAUUUUACUCUCAAAGAAAUCUAACACUCAUUCAUAUAACAUAACAAAGUGUCAUAUUGACUGUGUAAAAAUAACUCUUCUCACCUUUUAUACUUACAUUUUAUUAUUAGAACAAUUUUAUUAGUGUUUUAAAUGAAAUGUGUAUGCAGCAUAACAAUACCAUAGUAAAAAUCUUCUUUCUACC